UACGUAGGUGGCAAGCGUUAUCCGGAAUUAUUGGGCGUAAAGCGCGCGCAGGCGGUUUCUUAAGUCUGAUGUGAAAGCCCACGGCUCAACCGUGGAGGGUCAUUGGAAACUGGGGAACUUGAGUGCAGAAGGGAAAAGCGGAAUUCCACGUGUAGCGGUGAAAUGCGUAGAGAUGUGGAGGAACACCAGUGGCGAAGGCGGCUUUUUGGUCUGUAACUGACGCUGAGGCGCGAAAGCGUGGGGAGCAAACAGG
rnacentral:rRNA from 1 species